GAUAAACGCUGGCGGCGUGCCUAAUACAUGCAAGUCGAGCGAACGGACGAGAAGCUUGCUUCUCUGAUGUUAGCGGCGGACGGGUGAGUAACACGUGGAUAACCUACCUAUAAGACUGGGAUAACUUCGGGAAAUCGGAGCUAAUACCGGAUAAUAUUUUGAACCGCAUGGUUCAAAAGUGAAAGACGGUCUUGCUGUCACUUAUAGAUGGAUCCGCGCUGCAUUAGCUAGUUGGUAAGGUAACGGCUUACCAAGGCAACGAUGCAUAGCCGACCUGAGAGGGUGAUCGGCCACACUGGAACUGAGACACGGUCCAGACUCCUGCGGGAGGCAGCAGUAGGGAAUCUUCCGCAAUGGGCGAAAGCCUGACGGAGCAACGCCGCGUGAGUGAUGAAGGUCUUCAGAUCGUAAAACUCUGUUAUUAGGGAAGAACAUAUGUGUAAGUAACUGUGCACAUCUUGACGGUACCUAAUCAGAAAGCCACGGCUAACUACGUGCCAGCAGCCGCGGUAAUACGUAGGUGGCAAGCGUUAUCCGGAAUUAUUGGGCGUAAAGCGCGCGUAGGCGGUUUUUUAAGUCUGAUGUGAAAGCCCACGGCUCAACCGUGGAGGGUCAUUGGAAACUGGAAAACUUGAGUGCAGAAGAGGAAAGUGGAAUUCCAUGUGUAGCGGUGAAAUGCGCAGAGAUAUGGAGGAACACCAGUGGCGAAGGCGACUUUCUGGUCUGUAACUGACGCUGAUGUGCGAAAGCGUGGGGAUCAAACAGGAUUAGAUACCCUGGUAGUCCACGCCGUAAACGAUGAGUGCUAAGUGUUAGGGGGUUUCCGCCCCUUAGUGCUGCAGCUAACGCAUUAAGCACUCCGCCUGGGGAGUACGACCGCAAGGUUGAAACUCAAAGGAAUUGACGGGGACCCGCACAAGCGGUGGAGCAUGUGGUUUAAUUCGAAGCAACGCGAAGAACCUUACCAAAUCUUGACAUCCUUUGACAACUCUAGAGAUAGAGCCUUCCCCUUCGGGGGACAAAGUGACAGGUGGUGCAUGGUUGUCGUCAGCUCGUGUCGUGAGAUGUUGGGUUAAGUCCCGCAACGAGCGCAACCCUUAAGCUUAGUUGCCAUCAUUAAGUUGGGCACUCUAAGUUGACUGCCGGUGACAAACCGGAGGAAGGUGGGGAUGACGUCAAAUCAUCAUGCCCCUUAUGAUUUGGGCUACACACGUGCUACAAUGGACAAUACAAAGGGCAGCGAAACCGCGAGGUCAAGCAAAUCCCAUAAAGUUGUUCUCAGUUCGGAUUGUAGUCUGCAACUCGACUACAUGAAGCUGGAAUCGCUAGUAAUCGUAGAUCAGCAUGCUACGGUGAAUACGUUCCCGGGUCU
rnacentral:rRNA from 1 species